rnacentral:lncRNA from 1 species
GCCGCCUUCAGCACCAAAAAGAGCGUUAUUGUUUCAGUUUGUCUCACCGCCCUUGAACAAACACAGAGAGACGCUGCUGCUUCUCAUCGACCCAGUGGAGCGUAUGGAAACGGGAAAAUUCUUCUACGGGACAAGUGCGAGCUUUCGAGGGAAACGGAGCCUCCAGCCGUCUCACCACCCGCGCCAACACUGACCACAUCUGGGGAGCACGCGCCUUUGUGUUCGCCUUAUCGGGGAAGGGUUAGGGCCACUGGGAGCUAACACAACUGAUGAAAGACCAGAAGCGCAGGCUUAGGUCAGCAGGAAUCAAGGAAACGCUGUGGGUCAAGACGCAGGAAGGAGGAACACCGGCCACCUCCUUUGACCGGGACAGAGGUCAGGACGGCAUCAGUGACACACAACGGCUAUUGCCACGAAGAGAACUGGCUCUGGCAGAAUGGAAGGCCACGGCGGAGAGCGUCUGACGCCCCACUGACGCAGCCAGGAGAUGGAACUAGCGCUGCCCCUUCGGACCAAGUUACCGCUCUGAGAGCUACCCUGGAGGGUCUCUAAAGCCUGGCCGGCACACGGCCACACCCUUAUCUAGGGCUGUCGCUGCUUCUGCAUUCCAGCGACAGACCCGAGGAGUUGGGACAGAAACGGUAGGCGGCCCUCAGUGGCCAGAGGGCCACCCGGCCACUUACAGAGAAAGGGUGCCUGCCCUUGGCAGCGGUUUAAGGACACAACCCCCGGUACCGAUCUCUGUCCGGUCACUUACGAAUUCCGUGACUCCGGGAAGGUCACACGCUCCGUGGGUGCCACGGUUUCUUCUCUGUAAAGCGCAGUAACAGUGGUGAUGAGAGGUUGUUGCCAGGAUGAAAUGAGUUGAUACCUGGGAAGUGCGGGACCAAGGAGGUCAUCUGUGCAGAGGCCCAGGCGGUGACCUUGUGUUUUGGACUCUUGGCCGGAAGAAUUCUUGACCUGACACUGUCCCGGGCAGCAGACUUUCGGUCCGACACCCGAGUGGAGGCGUCCACGGUCAGACGGCCGAACGCACCGAGAGCUGCGGGGAUCCGGAGGGACCGGGGGAGGACGGAACCGGAUCAGCCAAGGCCCCGCUGGGAACAAACGUGCCGACUGUACAGGGGACGACUUGGAGAGCUAAGCCUGCGUGCGGCCAGCCCCUCCACAGGGAGACGGAUGUGGGUUUCAGCUUUGUUUGUUUGUUUGUUUGUUUGCUGCUAUUGAAGAACAAAAAGAAGAGGAGCCGGUUUCUUUUCUCCUCCUUGACCGACCCAUCCCUGCAAGAGGACAGGGUUUCUUUCUUUUCUUUUUUUCUUUUUCUUUUUUUUUGCUCACGCUCACAGCACGGGGAAGAUCCUGGGCCAGGGAUUGAACCCAAAGCCACAGCAGCAACCCGGGCCACUGCAGUGACAACGCCGGAUCCUUAACCCACCGUGGCCACAAGGGCAUUCCAAGGACAAGACUUCUGAUUCAUGGAGUCUUGAAAAGAAGCUGAAGGUGGAAGCAGUUCUCCCAAGAUGGGAGAGGGUUUGGAAGACCUGAGGGGACCCCGAAGACAGGACACCCAUUUUAAUACAAAGCAUCAGCUGCCACACCAACGGGAGCUCCAUCUCAGGCCAUGUUAGUAGAAGCAGGUCUUGUAGAAAGAGGGAGGUGAUCUCCUUCCACCUCCUCUGGCCAGCCCUGGUCUACUGUGGGCAACCCGAGAGCGGUGCGGGCACAGCGAUGGUACGCCCACCCCUUCCUAUCAGUUAUGCCGGGUUUUCUCCACCCUCAGCAUCCCUGAUCCGAGGAGCGGCUGAUAAAGGCCCGUAGUUCUGGUCUUUCAAACCUCCGCAAUUAUGCAGAAUUUACCCCUCUCCCCUGGUGAAAGUGGGCCUGGGGGAUGAGUCCGGCUGCAGGUCAAGAAUUCUACUUUAUCAGCAGCUACAAAAACAUUAACCUGAUCCCCGGGGGCGAAGUGUAGCUGGUUCAGCAGCUCCUGGAGUCGCCUGGCCUUAGGAGAGCCUGUGUCUCCCAGUGGCCUCAGAGAUUGGGUGGCCCCUCGCAGGGUCUCCAAGGACCCGGCCGUGUGCUUACAGCCUGGUUUCCCACCCUCAUCUCCCCUUUACACAUGUACGAUUCUGCCAAAAGAGAGCACGGUCCAGCUUUUUC